AUGCAAGAUGCGGCGACUUGACUUCAGACACCGAGAGAGGCUGGCGGCCCAGGUCUUGUGGCCACAUCUGUCCAAGCUCCUACUCUGAUUGAACAGUUGGAUGAUCAGACUGAUGAUGAAAAGUGCUACACAGUUCUCACACAUCUUCUGACUCCGAAGCCGCUGCAGUGUAAAAUCUGAGAUGUCUUUUCUGGUUGAUUUUGUGCAG